AGCAAUCAGCGAGAUUCCGUGGGCGUAGGACCCUCUGAGCCAGGUGUGGGAUAUAAUCUCGUGGUGCGCCGUUUUUUAAGCCAGUCCGAAAAGCGCAAUAUUCGGGUGGGAGUGACCCGAUUUUCCAGGAGAGACAAAUACCAAGGAGAUAUCAGGAAGAAUAUUGUCCCCGGUAAAUACCAAGUCACAUCAGGAAGAAUACUGUGGAGAGAGAGGUAAAGAAUCAGGAUGGAAACAGAAAAUAGGCCGAACAAUGGCCAAGCGUCAAAAUCCUACGUCAGGACAGUGCUAGGACUGCUUUUUUCUAUAUCAGACACGUGGGCUCCUGCUGUGUCUUCCUGGAAAGCAGAGGCCAAGGAUGGAGCAGACCAAGAGGAUGCCAGGAAAAAUCACAAAGAAGCCCAGAAAGCACAGCUGGAAGCCAAGAACCCUGUUUUUGGUUUGUGUGGGUGGAAGGUGAGGGACAACAUAUAGUGACCAACAGGAUUCUUCAUUUGAAAGAGAAUGGAGUACAUCAGACCUGUGUAUUUAGGUGAAGUAUGAUAA
rnacentral:lncRNA from 1 species